CGGGUUCUGGCGGGCCCGGGGCGGGCCCGGGGUCCCCGUCUGCCCCUUCCUGCGGGGGCGGCCAGGGGCGCCCGCCGCGCCGUGUGAGCGCCUCGUUCCGCUCGGCCCGGGCCCGUCCCCAAGGGCGCCUCCCGGGCUCGGGCCGCUCCUCCCGGCAAGGUCACGCGGAGGCCCCGGACGCGUGUGGGCGCUCGCUGGUAGAGGGCGCGGCGGAGCCCGAGGCGCCCGGCGCAGCCCCGUGCCCGAGCCAGGCCGGCCAUGAGGGCAUCAUCCCGCCUCUGCCGGGGCCAGGCGGGCACGGAUGGCAGAUGCGGGGGGUUGAGUCUUGGGGAGACCUGAAGUUAAGGCUGCAGCUGACAAUAAAGAAGUGUGUGAUGUGGGCACUUGUCUGGUUUGCUCCACCAUGCCUGAACCUCUAGCAAAUAAUGGUCACUGGGAAGGCAGAUGUGAGGGGUUGAGACCUGGGGGGACCUGAAGUUAAGGCUGCAGCUCACAGUGAAGAAGUGUGAUGAGGACAUCGUCAGGUUGCUCCAUGUGUGCCCCUUUGUCAAGGGAAAAUAGUUGAGAUUUACAAGAAGUUCCUGAGCCCUGCUGGAGUUUGUGUUCUGCUAAAGAAGAAGGAUGGUUCUGCUGCUCCCGUGCUGCUGCCUGGGAUUCUCAUCCAAGCCACAGCAUUCCCAUCUCCCUGCAAACAGCUCUGACCUCUCAAAGCUGUCAGGAGUGAUGAAUUUGUGUCCUUUGGUACAAGGCGUGUAACUGGAAUGAAUCCUGGAACUUGCUGCAUGUUUAAUGCAGUUGGAUGCUUUUGUUAGCAGGGGUUGCACUCCCUGCCUGGCAACUCCAGUUAUUCUGGAGUUAUUCAUAAUCAUGAGAGGCAGGGAAGCCUCUCCUGGGAGCACUGUCGGGUAUGGGGGGAUGGCCUUGUGUAAGGAAGGGAGUCAGGGCUUGAUUCUCUCCUGCCAUCCAGAAAGCUUCCGUGGUGUAUCCCUGUGAAGUGGGCAGGGGGUGUCAGAUGCUGCAGCACAGUGUGUUUCUGUACUGCUGGGAGCCUGUUUUUAAUAAAAUCUGAGUAAUGGUGA